AUUUCAUAAAAUGUUUCGUUGGUCGUGUCUCUGUCUUCGUUUAGUCUUUUGUUUGAUGAUACCUAUAUCAUUUUGUUAACAGCCGAAUCUCCGUGCAUUUGGUAAACAUUGUCACAAUUGUGGAAAGUGGAUGGAGCGAAGGGCUCUUCGUAAAGAUGGUGUGUAGUAUUUUAGUAGGUAUGUAGGCAGGUUGUGUUUUUAAGUGAAUUUUGUUUUGUUUUCUUCUUAAAGUGUGGAUUGUGAGCCUUCUGCAUUUAAAAAUAAAAUAAGUACUUAUUUACUUCCAGUGACAUGCAAUUUUUGUAAUGGCAAAAUAUUUGCAAGAGAUGGCAAACAAAAGCAAAUGUGCAGUCGAUGUGUGGAAUGCGACAACAUUAUACUCGGUCGAUAACGAAGAGUUGAAUGUUAGAACUUAUAAAAAUAUUAUUUACAACUCAUUUCGAGAAGCUGCUCAAGCAAGAGGGCUCCUUUUUGACGAUCAAGAAUGGGAAAGAUGUUUGAAUGAAGCAAUUGAUUUUAAACUUCCUCGGCAAUUAUUUCGAGUUCGAAGAUUCGAUGAUGUAAAAAUUCAAAUUAUCAAUACCACUGAACAAGGCUUGAAAGGUGAUAAAUAUUUAUCGAAAAAUGUUAUAUAUAGAGAAAUUUUGUGAUAAUCAACCUCUGAUGUAUAAUAGAGAAUAUUUUUUUAUAAGUACCUUUGCCAAAUUCUCGGAUAAGUACUCAUUGUAAAAUUACAAUUUACAUACUUCCUAAUAUUAUUCUUGAUUUAGCCAAUUUGGAUAAAGAACCACAAUUUCAUAUUUUAUUUUUAAAAUUAGUAAGUACUUAUCUACCUGUCAAAGUAAAGAAAAAGACUGAGUGCUUAAAACAAAGAGGUUUACACAGAGUAAACCUUAAAAAUUAUAUGUUUUGUUAAUUUGUGUUAGUUUAUUUUGAAUGUUAAUUUGAAAUAAAAAUAAUUUGUGUAAAAACUUUUGCAGUUUUUAUUUAUUAUAUUUAUUAAACAUAACGAACGAAGCUAUACGAAUCUAUGCCUUGAUUAUUCCUUUAAUAUUCCUUGAGACCCGAUGACUACAGAAAUUUCUACCUACAUUUUGCAACUAGACGUGUAUUAUGAGUCAAAUUUCACCCGAGCGAAGCCGGGUUUUCC
rnacentral:misc_RNA from 1 species